rnacentral:lncRNA from 1 species
CAGAUUCCACGUAGCUCCACCACUCUCUGGCAAGCCACGAUGAGGGCCACUCCCUGCUCUACUCUCUGCAAUGGAUUCUACACGGCUCCACUACUCUCUGGCAAGUCGUGACAACGGCCACCACUCCACUCUCCGUAACCAACUCCACGUGGCCCUGAAUGACCCUUGAUGCCACUACUCUCCGUAACAAACUCCAAGUGGCUCUGAACAGUUCACUACUAGGCGGUUACAGACGUCGC